UCUGCGUGUUGUGCGAUUGAGCUUUGUAAUGGGGAAAUAGAUCCAGCCCGGAUAGAUUGAUGUCGCCUCUAACCCUAGAACGUCUGAGGCGAAUAACCGAGGUCCGUCGCUCCCCUCCGUGCGGUGGCGAGGCACUGAAGUUUAAGCUUCUUCCCACGCACGACCUUAAACGGUCUGAUUUAUGUCUUCGUCUUUACUUUCAUUGAUUCGUUCUCCACGAUCUGAGAGGCGGCGUAGGUUCAGUAUAAAUAUAUUCCAGGGCUGCUACACGAGAUGCUUGGAUCUACCAAAACAAGAGAUUCAAAAGCUUGGAAGGUGUUUUUGCAUUAAUUCACUUUUUUCUUUGACUUUCUCUAUGUGGGUGUGGAAAACAGAAGGUCCUUUCAUCACAUUUGUUCAUUGCCAACGACAAAGAAAAAUGUUGUGUACGUCACACCUUUUGAAAAAUGUCAUCUUCAGCGACUCUUCAUGUUUUAGCGGAUUUCCCAUUCCUAAACAAAUCCAGUCCUUUUUUUUGUUGACUAUAGGAGGCCACAAUAUCUACAGAAAAGGAAAAUUAGUUCUCAAAUGAAAGCACUUGCAAACCAUUCCCAUUUCCCAGAGUUUACUCAUACAACAUCACCAGAGAAGAGAUAGGAGGGAGAUGAGGGUUAAGAAUGGAUACAUCGAUGGUAAUGGCAAAUAGAAGUUCUCAUGUGGUGAUUGGUGACAAGAUUAAUCGGAUACAAGAGCUGACGGACAAUAUUUUGCAUGCCAACUUCAGGUCUCCUUUACACUGACAAACACGUAAAUCUAAGUAGGGAGUACCCAUGUCUCAUCCUCACCAAUCUCUUCCAUCACACUGCUCUAUUAGUGAGUUAAGUUUCUUUCUCUCUGUUGUUUAUUCAGAUUAUUUAUUUAUUAUUUUCACUAUUAUUUACUUAAGCCCCCAUGUUCUCUUAGGAAUGGUAUAAGAGGCUGAUCAUGAGUUUAUUCUUUGUCAGCCC